rnacentral:pre_miRNA from 1 species
AUUAUACUCUCUCCGUCCGGAAAUACUUGUCGUAGGAAUGGAUGUAUCUAGAUGUAUUUUAAUUUUAGAUACAUCCAUUUGUAUCCAUUUUUGUGACAAGUAAUCCCGGACGGAGGGAGUAUUUU